rnacentral:rRNA from 1 species
AUUGAACGCUGGCGGCAUGCCUUACACAUGCAAGUCGAACGGCAGCACGGGUGCUUGCACCUGGUGGCGAGUGGCGAACGGGUGAGUAAUAUAUCGGAACGUGCCUUAGAGUGGGGGAUAACUAGUCGAAAGAUUAGCUAAUACCGCAUACGAUCUACGGAUGAAAGUGGGGGAUCGCAAGACCUCAUGCUCUUAGAGCGGCCGAUAUCUGAUUAGCUAGUUGGUGGGGUAAAAGCCUACCAAGGCGACGAUCAGUAGCUGGUCUGAGAGGACGACCAGCCACACUGGGACUGAGACACGGCCCAGACUCCUACGGGAGGCAGCAGUGGGGAAUUUUGGACAAUGGGGGCAACCCUGAUCCAGCAAUGCCGCGUGAGUGAAGAAGGCCUUCGGGUUGUAAAGCUCUUUUGUCAGGAAAGAAAUCCUAUUCGCUAAUACCGAGUGGGGAUGACGGUACCUGAAGAAUAAGCACCGGCUAACUACGUGCCAGCAGCCGCAGUAA